UGGCAUUAGAAGAGGCUGAAGGAAAAUAACUGGAAUGUUUGAGUGGAUUGCCAGGCACCUCUUUGCCUGCACAGUAGAGAUGGUCAUUAAUGUCAGGACACUAAAGCAGAGUGCAGUUCUGCUGUAGAAACUGAGGACAGAAAAGUAAGUGGCUUGUUUUAAUGUGGUUUCUCAGGCAGCUCUAGUAGCUGGAAUUUUCUCUGGUUGUUCUUUAGGUUUGUUUUUUUUCUUUUUUUAAAUUAAAUCAUGUGAAAUUAUUUUAUGGUUCUUUACAUUUGUAUUUAACCUCAGUGGGAACAAAACAGUCUUACUCUAUUGAACUUGUU
rnacentral:lncRNA from 12 species